CUCCUACGGGAGGCAGCAGUGGGGAAUCUUAGACAAUGGGCGCAAGCCUGAUCUAGCCAUGCCGCGUGAGUGAUGAAGGCCCUAGGGUCGUAAAGCUCUUUCGCCAGGGAUGAUAAUGACAGUACCUGGUAAAGAAACCCCGGCUAACUCCGUGCCAGCAGCCGCGGUAAUACGGAGGGGGUUAGCGUUGUUCGGAAUUACUGGGCGUAAAGCGUACGUAGGCGGAUCAGAAAGUUGGGGGUGAAAUCCCGGGGCUCAACCUCGGAACUGCCUCCAAAACUCCUGGUCUAGAGUUCGAGAGAGGUGAGUGGAACUCCGAGUGUAGAGGUGAAAUUCGUAGAUAUUCGGAAGAACACCAGUGGCGAAGGCGGCUCACUGGCUCGAUACUGACGCUGAGGUACGAAAGUGUGGGGAGCAAACAGGAUUAGAUACCCUGGUAGUCCACACCGUAAACGAUGAAUGCCAGUCGUCGGAUAGUAUACUAUUCGGUGACACACCUAACGGAUUAAGCAUUCCGCCUGGGGAGUACGGUCGCAAGAUUAAAACUCAAAGGAAUUGACGG
rnacentral:rRNA from 1 species